rnacentral:rRNA from 1 species
GGUAACAGGAAGCAGCUUGCUGCUUUGCUGACGAGUGGCGGACGGGUGAGUAAUGUCUGGGAAACUGCCUGAUGGAGGGGGAUAACUACUGGAAACGGUAGCUAAUACCGCAUAACGUCGCAAGACCAAAGAGGGGGACCUUCGGGCCUCUUGCCAUCGGAUGUGCCCUGAUGGGAUUAGCUAGUAGGUGGGGUAACGGCUCACCUAGGCGACGAUCCCUAGCUGGUCUGAGAGGAUGACCAGCCACACUGGAACUGAGACACGGUCCAGACUCCUACGGGAGGCAGCAGUGGGGAAUAUUGCACAAUGGGCGCAAGCCUGAUGCAGCCAUGCCGCGUGUAUGAAGAAGGCCUUCGGGUUGUAAAGUACUUUCAGCGGGGAGGAAGGUGUUGAGGUUAAUAACCUCAGCAAUUGACGUUACCCGCAGAAGAAGCACCGGCUAACUCCGUGCCAGCAGCCGCGGUAAUACGGAGGGUGCAAGCGUUAAUCGGAAUUACUGGGCGUAAAGCGCACGCAGGCGGUCUGUCAAGUCGGAUGUGAAAUCCCCGGGCUCAACCUGGGAACUGCAUUCGAAACUGGCAGGCUAGAGUCUUGUAGAGGGGGGUAGAAUUCCAGGUGUAGCGGUGAAAUGCGUAGAGAUCUGGAGGAAUACCGGUGGCGAAGGCGGCCCCCUGGACAAAGACUGACGC